rnacentral:rRNA from 1 species
UAAAAACCCCGACUUCGGAAGGGGUGUAUUUAUUAGAUACAAAACCAAUGCCCUUCGGGGCUCUUUGGUGAUUCAUGAUAACUAUACGAAUCGCACGGCCUUGCGCCGGCGAUGGUUCAUUCAAAUUUCUUCCCUAUCAACUUUCGAUGUUUGGGUAUUGGCCAAACAUGGUUGCAACGGGUAACGGAGGGUUAGGGCUCGACCCCGGAGAAGGAGCCUGAGAAACGGCUACUACAUCCAAGGAAGGCAGCAGGCGCGCAAAUUACCCAAUCCCGACUCGGGGAGGUAGUGACAAUAAAUACUGAUACAGGGCCCUUUCGGGCCUUGUAAUUGGAAUGAGUACAAUUUAAAUCCCUUAACGAGGAACAAUUGGAGGGCAAGUCUGGUGCCAGCAGCCGCGGUAAUUCCAGCUCCAAUAGCGUAUAUUAAAGUUGUUGUGGUUAAAAAGCUCGUAGUUGAACCUUGGGCCUGGCUGGCCGGUCCGCCUCAAAACGAAGCACUGGACAAGCCGGGCCUUUCCCUUGUGAAACCCCAUAUUCUUCAAUGGGCAUGGAUAGGAAAAGGAAUUAAAUUGUG